UCCGAGUUGUCCCCGGCAGUCCCAUAUGAGUGCCCGGCAUAACCCGCUGGCAACAUAUGGCGGGGGUUGCGCUCGUUGCGGGACUUAACCCAACACCUCACGGCACGAGCUGACGACAGCCAUGCAACACCUGCCCCGGUUCCCGAUUUUACGGGUGGGCCACCCUUUCAGGCGCCUACAUCCGGGAUGUCAAGCCUGGGUAAGGUGGGGAUGACGUGCCUGUACCAUAGA
rnacentral:misc_RNA from 1 species